rnacentral:rRNA from 1 species
CCUACGGGCGGCAGCAGUUAGGAAUCUUGCGCAAUGGGGGAAACCCUGACGCAGCAACGCCGCGUGAGUGAUGAAGGCCUUCGGGUUGUAAAGCUCUUUUAGUUGGGACGAAAAAAAUGACGGUACCGACAGAAAAAGCACCGGCUAACCCUGUGCCAGCAGCCGCGGUAAUACAGGGGGUGCAAGCGUUAUUCGGAAUUAUUGGGCGUAAAGAGCGUGUAGGCGGUUUGGUAAGUCUGAUGUGAAAGCCCUGGGCUCAAUCCAGGAAGUGCAUCGGAUACUGCCAGACUAGAGUAUAGGAGAGGUAAGCGGAAUUCCUGGUGUAGAGGUGAAAUUCGUAGAUAUCAGGAGGAACAACAGCGGCGAAGGCGGCUUACUGGACUAUUACUGACGCUAAGGCGCGAAAGCGUGGGGAGCAAACAGGAUUAGAUACCCCAGUAGUC